CCUACGGGAGGCAGCAGUGAGGAAUAUUGGUCAAUGGACGAGAGUCUGAACCAGCCAAGUAGCGUGAAGGAUGACUGCCCUAUGGGUUGUAAACUUCUUUUAUCAAGGAAUAAAACGAGGCCCGUGUGCCUUGUUGCAUGUACUUUAUGAAUAAGGAUCGGCUAACUCCGUGCCAGCAGCCGGGGUAAUACGGAGGAUCCGAGCGUUAUCCGGAUUUAUUGGGUUUAAAGGGAGCGUAGAUGGGUUGUUAAGUCAGUUGUGAAAGUUUGCGGCUCAACCGUAAAAUUGCCAUUGAUACUGGCAGUCUAGAGUACAGUUGAGGUAGGCGGAAUUCGUGGUGUAGCGGUGAAAUGCUUAGAUAUCACGAAGAACCCCGAUUGCGAAGGCAGCUUACUAAUCUGUAACUGACAUUGAUGCUCGAAAGUGUGGGUAUCAAACAGGAUUAGAUACCCCAGUAGUC
rnacentral:rRNA from 1 species